UUCGGGCCUUGCGCUAUCAGAUGAGCCUAGGUCGGAUUAGCUAGUUGGUGGGGUAAUGGCUCACCAAGGCGACGAUCCGUAACUGGUCUGAGAGGAUGAUCAGUCACACUGGAACUGAGACACGGUCCAGACUCCUACGGGAGGCAGCAGUGGGGAAUAUUGGACAAUGGGCGAAAGCCUGAUCCAGCCAUGCCGCGUGUGUGAAGAAGGUCUUCGGAUUGUAAAGCACUUUAAGUUGGGAGGAAGGGUUGUAGAUUAAUACUCUGCAAUUUUGACGUUACCGACAGAAUAAGCACCGGCUAACUCUGUGCCAGCAGCCGCGGUAAUACAGAGGGUGCAAGCGUUAAUCGGAAUUACUGGGCGUAAAGCGCGCGUAGGUGGUUAGUUAAGGUUGGAAUGUGAAAUCCCCGGGCUCAACCUGGGAACUGCAUUCAAAACUGACUGA
rnacentral:rRNA from 1 species